GACGAACGCUGGCGGCGUGCCUAAUACAUGCAAGUCGAACGCUGAAGAGAGGAGCUUCCUCUUCUUGGAUGAGUUGCGAACGGGUGAGUAACGCGUAGGUAACCUGCCUUGUAGCGGGGGAUAACUAUUGGAAACGAUAGCUAAUACCGCAUAACAAUGGAUGACACAUGUCAUUUAUUUGAAAGGGGCAAUUGCUCCACUACAAGAUGGACCUGCGUUGUAUUAGCUAGUAGGUGAGGUAAUGGCUCACCUAGGCGACGAUACAUAGCCGACCUGAGAAGGUGAUCGGCCACACUGGGACUGAGACACGGCCCAGACUCCUACGGGAGGCAGCAGUAGGGAAUCUUCGGCAAUGGGGGCAACCCUGACCGAGCAACGCCGCGUGAGUGAAGAAGGUUUUCGGAUCGUAAAGCUCUGUUGUAAGUCAAGAACGGGUGUGAGAGUGGAAAGUUCACACUGUGACGGUAGCUUACCAGAAAGGGACGGCUAACUACGUG
rnacentral:rRNA from 1 species